CCAGAUCAAGGCGUGGACGGUUUUCUCGCCCAAUUAAAUACGCUGUGGGCGGGUUUUGAAUGACAGCGAUUCAGACCGAGCCGAGGAACUAAACAGCUCUUGGCAGCAGCACCGGAGACAUGUGUGGCAUCUUUGCGUAUCUGAAUUAUCACGUGCCUCGCACUCGCCGUGAGAUCCUUGAGGUCCUCAUCAAAGGUCUGCGUCGCCUGGAGUACCGUGGCUAUGACUCCGCUGGUGUGGGCAUUGAUGGAGGAAACAGUAAGGAAUGGGAAACCAACUCCAAGAGCAUCCACCUGAUCAAGCAAACAGGAAAAGUCAAAGCGCUGGAUGAGGAGAUCCAUAGGCAGCAGGAUGUUGAUCUUGAUGUGGAGUUUGAUGUGCACCUGGGGAUCGCUCACACUCGAUGGGCCACUCACGGCGUCCCCAGCCCGGUCAACAGCCACCCGCAAAGAUCUGACAAGAACAACGAGUUUAUCGUCAUCCAUAAUGGAAUCAUCACCAACUACAAAGACCUGAAGAAGUUUCUGGAGAGCAAAGGCUAUGAGUUUGAGUCUGAGACAGACACGGAGACCAUCGCUAAGCUGGUUAAGUACAUAUAUGAUAACCGGGAGAGCGAUGACAUCACCUUCACCACCCUCGUGGAGCAAGUCACCCAGCAACUAGAAGGAGCUUUUGCCCUGGUCUUGAAAAGUGUGCACUAUCCGGGAGAGGCAGUGGGCAGCAGGAGAGGAGGUCCAUUACUGAUUGGAGUUAGAAGUGACCACAAGCUUUCCACCGAUCACAUCCCCAUCCUUUAUCGCUCCUCUGGUAAAGAUAAAAAGAGCUGCAAUACUCUGCCCAGGAUGGACGAGGACACGUGUCUGUUUCCUGUGGACGAGAAAGCCGUGGAGUACUACUUUGCAUCUGAUGCCAGUGCUGUCAUCGAGCACACCAAUCGAGUCAUCUUCCUCGAGGAUGAUGAUAUCGCAGCAGUGCGUGACGGGCGUCUCUCUAUCCAUCGGAUCAAGCGCACAGCAGGGGACCACCCGGCCCGUGCCAUCCAGACCCUGCAGAUGGAGCUGCAGCAGAUCAUGAAGGGAAACUUCAGUUCCUUCAUGCAGAAAGAGAUCUUCGAGCAGCCAGAGUCUGUGGUCAACACCAUGCGAGGAAGAGUUAACUUUGAGAACAACACAGUGAUCUUGGGAGGGUUGAAAGACCACAUUAAAGAGAUUCAGAGAUGUCGGAGGCUCAUCAUGAUCGCCUGUGGGACCAGUUACCAUGCUGGAGUUGCAACUCGUCAGGUACUGGAAGAACUGACUGAACUUCCUGUCAUGGUGGAGCUGGCUAGUGAUUUCCUGGAUCGAAACACGCCUGUCUUCCGAGAUGAUGUGUGCUUUUUCAUCAGCCAGUCAGGAGAGACGGCAGACAGCCUGUUGGCUCUGCGCUACUGUAAGGGGAGAGGUGCCCUGACGGUGGGCAUCACCAACACUGUGGGCAGCUCUAUCUCAAGAGAAACAGACUGUGGUGUUCACAUCAAUGCUGGCCCAGAGAUUGGUGUGGCUAGCACCAAGGCAUACACAAGUCAGUUCGUGGCUCUCAUCAUGUUCGCCCUUCUGAUGUGCGAUGACAGAAUCUCAAUGCAGCCACGCAGACGAGAAAUCAUACAAGGCCUCAAAGUGCUGCCAGAUCUAAUCAAGGAGGUGUUGAGCCUGGAUGAGGAGAUUCAGAAGUUGGCAGCUGAGCUGUAUCAGCAGAAGAGUGUUCUCAUCAUGGGCCGAGGAUACCACUACGCCACCUGCCUGGAGGGAGCUUUGAAAAUUAAGGAGAUCACGUACAUGCAUUCAGAGGGGAUUUUGGCUGGAGAGCUGAAGCAUGGGCCGCUGGCUCUAGUGGACAAACUCAUGCCUGUCAUCAUGAUCAUCAUGAGAGACCACACAUACACCAAGUGCCAGAACGCACUGCAGCAGGUCGUGGCGAGACAGGGCCGUCCGAUCGUGAUCUGUGAUAAAGAUGACUAUGAGACCAUCAAGAACUCCAGCCGCACCAUCAAAGUGCCUCACAGUGUGGACUGUCUGCAGGGAAUCCUCAGCGUCAUCCCGCUACAACUGCUGUCCUUCCACCUCGCUGUGCUCCGCGGAUUCGACGUGGAUUGCCCAAGAAACCUGGCCAAGUCUGUGACUGUUGAGUAAUUGCUUCCUGAUCGAUGCCUCAAACACACACACACACACACACACACAUACACAGACAGUACAGACUAUCAAAGACAUGAAGAUAUUUGAAGAUAGGGUUUUAUACAUG